AUUGAACGAUGGCGGAAGGAAGUACACAUGCAAGUCGAACGGCAGCACGGGUGCUUGCCCCUGGUGGCGAGUGGCGAACGGGUGAGUAAUACAUCGGAACAUGUCCUGUAGUGGGGGAUAGCCCGGCGAAAGCCGGAUUAAUACCGCAUACGAUCCACGGAUGAAAGCGGGGGACCUUCGGGCCUCGCGCUAUCGGGUUGGCCGAUGGCUGAUUAGCUAGUUGGUGGGGUAAAGGCCUACCAAGGCGACGAUCAGUAGCUGGUCUGAGAGGACGACCAGCCACACUGGGACUGAGACACGGCCCAGACUCCUACGGGAGGCAGCAGUGGGGAAUUUUGGACAAUGGGCGAAAGCCUGAUCCAGCAAUGCCGCGUGUGUGAAGAAGGCCUUCGGGUUGUAAAGCACUUUUGUCCGGAAAGAAAUCCUUGGCUCUAAUACAGUCGGGGGAUGACGGUACCGGAAGAAUAAGCACCGGCUAACUACGUG
rnacentral:rRNA from 1 species